CAGAGCAGAAUCUCUUGCAUCAGGGUGAAAGGAGUUCGCUACUUUGACUGCCCUCCCUCCACUUCAUGGUGCAAUGAUUAGGCCUGACAAAGUAAAGGUUUGUAGAAAACUGUGUUCUCAUUCUACUUGAAUGUUGAAACUCUUGUAUUUGCUAGUGAAUGUAUCAAAAUGCAGAGCACUUUACAGUCUGAUACAAUAAUGAAUCAGAUGGGAUUGUUUUCUUUAUAUUCCAAGUCUAGAGAUAUUCAUUAGUUUGAAGGUUGCAAAGAUAUGGGACAUAAAGUACUAAGGACACUCUCUUUACACUUGGAAGUGUGUGAUGUGGGGGGUUUGUCUUAAAGCCUUUAGCUGGUUGAGUCCACUAGCAUAGUUGUUAAACACGCAUGGAUCUGGAAAGUUUCAGCACUGCAAGUUGUUGGUAACAAG
rnacentral:misc_RNA from 1 species